rnacentral:rRNA from 1 species
UACGUAGGGGGCUAGCGUUGUCCGGAUUUAUUGGGCGUAAAGAGCGUGUAGGCGCCAUUUAGGUCCGGUGUGAAAACUCGAGGCUUAACCUCGAGAUGUCAUCGGAAACCAUUUGGCUAGAGUCCGGAAGAGGAGAGUGGAAUUCCUGGUGUAGCGGUGAAAUGCGCAGAUAUCAGGAAGAACACCAAUGGCGAAAGCAGCUCUCUGGGACGGUACUGACGCUGAGACGCGAAAGCGUGGGGAGCGAACAGG